AGAAUGGCGUCUCAGACCAAGGAAGUUAUUAUGCGGUGCAACACAAUACGUGUGUUUGUUAUAUUUACCAGAUAAAACAUACCAUGAGACCUGCGACGGACUAGAUAUUAGCAACACAGGCAGCAAACUUGUGUUUCAACCAAAUUUCAACAAGGCGAGAUGCAACUACAAUCGAUAUCAACCUUUUACAUUCUCAACUGACGGGAGCAGUGCUUGCGUGUAUAAAAAGUCAUUCUGUAAUGCAGAGGGUCAAUUACCUUUCAAUAAAGGAAGUUUUGAAAAUGACACAAGAUGUGGAUGCAACGUCUCGAAAGGGUACACAUUUGUCACAAAGCCAAGAAACAAGUGCUACUGCAUACCUUUAGAAGAAGACUGUUCCUGUUAUAAACCUACUUGUAAUAACAAAGGUAAUGAUUGUACUUCGACGGAAACCGUUAUAAUGAAUGCCACAUGUUCAAUGU